UAAUUAAUGCUCUAGGCAAAAUUACCAUUUUGCCCCUAAACUUUUAAUUAAUGACGAUUUCAUCCUUAGGGUCAAGAAAAUAAAAUUUUUGCAAUUUAAUCCUUAUUUCCAGCUAUUAUUCUCAUAUAUAUAUAUUGAUAACAAUCCAUGAAUUCUAUAAAAUAUCAGAAUUUUUCAUAAUUUCAACACUUUUCAAUUUAAUCCCUAAAACAUGUUUUCCCCCGAUCUUGAACUAAAUUAAUAAUUUC
rnacentral:lncRNA from 1 species